rnacentral:lncRNA from 1 species
ACAUGGCUGCUAUUUUAAAAAGUACGUGACCUCAUCCUAAAGCUGUAGUACCUAAUGUUUCAGUUGUAUCUUCAUCGAAACUAUAGCUCACUGGUGUGCAUACUAAGUGUCUGUUGAUCUAAACCAAGCAUAACUCAUCUGCUUUUCUGAAACUAAGAUGAGUCAGAGAUGAAACACCUGCUCAAAGAAUCUUCUUAGGAACCAUACAGUGAAGAAGCUUGUAUUUCUAAUGUUAGCAGUUGGACAUUGCUAACACUAAUUUUACUGCAGUAUUUUAACUACAGUAAUUUUGCUGUUUACUUCUCUAUAAACUUACUAAAAUUUGUGGUUGAAUUUUUCCAUAGCUGCCACAGUUUUUCACAGCAUUCCUAACGGUUUUCAGCUGCUAUAUUGUAGUAGAAAAUUCAUCCAGUCAUUGGAUUUGAUCUUGGUAUAAUACUGUAUCUCAUGGUUGAGUUUUUAGUUCCUGCCAUUAUUGAGUUGAAAGAAAAAAACAAAACCAAAACUAAGUGACAAAAACAUGGGGGAAAAAGGAAUGACUUUCUUAAAACCAUCCAACUAAAUACUAAAUAUCCCCCCCAUGUAAAGCCUCUAGUUUAUUGUAACCUUUUAAUGGGUAAUUGAAAGGGGGAAAAAGUCAAAAUACUUUUCCAGUCAGUAGGUGGAAAAAAAAAACUAUGCUUCAGGGACAAAAGAUAAUAAGAAUUAUUGAUAAAGAGCUAUUAUGUGUCAAACUUAAGGCAUUUAAAUUUGAUUUUUAAGGCUAAUGAAGUUUUUCAUAUAUCAAACUAUUUAAAACAUCUUCCAUUAACAAAAAUUUAUCUUUCGUUUUUUAAAUAUCAAGUUAAGUGUAACAUUUAUAUAUUCCUAUGGAAAAAUAAUGGUACUUUUAAUGAUCUGACAUUUGUGAUUAUUUGCCAGUCUUUACUUUUUAACUUAUUAAGAUUUCUCUACUUACAACUUAUAAUUUGUCUUUUGACUUUUAGGGAAAUAUCCGGUGGGAUAUUUACAGCCCAGCCUUAAUAUUGGGUCGUGUUUCAUAGAGCUAAAGUCAGUGCAUUUCUGAAUUUCUCAGGAGCACUGCAAGGCAAAAAAACGGCUCCAAAUAAAAAUGAUAUAUGUAAGUUGGCAAUGUCUUCAUCCACAAUAAAAAAAAAACUUUUUAGC